AGUAUUGUGCUAGUUCAGCAACAGAUACCAUGUUUGUCUUGUGCUUUAUUUUGUGCCUCUCAUUUCUCUCUGAAGUCAAGUCUGAUAUUGAGCUUGUUCAGCCAAGUUCAGAAAUUAAAUCCCCCGGUGAGAGUGUUAAACUGUCCUGCAAGACAUCAGGGUAUUCAUUCACCAACUACUGGAUAAAUUGGAUACAGCAGGUUCCUGGGAAAGGAUUGCAAUGGAUAGGACUUAUAGAUCCAUCAGAUGCAGAGACACACUAUUCACCCUCGUACCAAGGAAGGUGCCACAUUAGCACUGAUAAUUCACAAAGCACAGCAUUCCUGCAACUGAACGAUCUAAAAGUGGAGGAUACUGCCAUAUAUUACUGUGCUAGAGACACAGUGAGAGGAACCAACUGACUAGUCAUACAAAAUGUUUUUAUGAACCCAUGCUACCACUAGAGAGCACCAUCACAUAAAAAACUCUAUUAUAUAAUAGCACUAAUAU